UACGUAGGGUGCAAGCGUUAAUCGGAAUUACUGGGCGUAAAGCGUGCGCAGGCGGUUAUGCAAGACAGAUGUGAAAUCCCCGGGCUUAACCUGGGAACCGCAUUUGUCGACUGCAUAGCUGGAGUACGGCAGAGGGGGAUGGAAUUCCGCGUGUAGCAGUGAAAUGCGUAGAUAUGCGGAGGAACACCGAUGGCGAAGGCAGUCCCCUGGGCCUGUACUGACGCUCAUGCACGAAAGCGUGGGGAGCAAACAGGAUU
rnacentral:rRNA from 1 species